CAGUAGCCGCGGGAAUACGUAGGGUGCAAGCGUUAAUCGGAAUUACUGGGCGUAAAGCGUGCGCAGGCGGUUUUGUAAGUUUGUCGUGAAAUCCCCGGGCUCAACCUGGGAAUGGCGAUGAAGACUGCAAGGCUAGAAUCUGGCAGAGGGGGGUAGAAUUCCACGUGAAGCAGUGAAAUGCGUAGAGAUGUGGAGGAACACCGAUGGCGAAGGCAGCCCCCUGGGUCAAGAUUGACGCUCAUGCACGAAAGCGUGGGGAGCAAACAGGAUUAGAUACCCGAGUAGUCCCUGUCUCUUAUAC
rnacentral:rRNA from 1 species